CAGCAGCCGCGGGAAUACAGAGGGUGCAAGCGUUAAUCGGAAUUACUGGGCGUAAAGCGCGCGUAGGUGGUUCGCCAAGUUGGAUGUGAAAUCCCCGGGCUCAACCUGGGAACUGCAUCCAAAACUGGCGAGCUAGAGUAUGGUAGAGGGUGGUGGAAUUUCCUGUGUAGCGGUGAAAUGCGUAGAUAUAGGAAGGAACAUCAGUGGCGAAGGCGACCACCUGGACUGAUACUGACACUGAGGUGCGAAAGCGUGGGGAGCAAACAGGAUUAGAUACCCCAGUAGUCCCUGUCUCUUAUAA
rnacentral:rRNA from 1 species